rnacentral:tRNA from 1 species
UGUGAGGUAGUGUAAUGGUAACACGGUAGACUCAUGACCUACCAUUCAAGGUUCAAUUCCUUGCUUCGCGC